UACGUAGGUGGCAAGCGUUGUCCGGAAUUACUGGGCGUAAAGGGCGCGUAGGCGGUCUUGUAAGUCAGAUGUGAAAGCCCCGGGCUCAACCCGGGAAUAGCAUUUGAUACUGCGGGGCUUGAGUCCGGGAGAGGAUGGCGGAAUUCCCAGUGUAGAGGUGAAAUUCGUAGAUAUUGGGAAGAACACCGGUGGCGAAGGCGGCCAUCUGGACCGGUACUGACGUUGAGGCGCGAAAGCGUGGGGAGCAAACAGG
rnacentral:rRNA from 1 species